GCUGCAGGAGCCCAGGCCCCAGGAAAGGCUCGAGACGAUAAGGGGGAGGGGUGGACCAAGCUGGGGAGAUGUCUUCUCGGGGUUUGGCCUGCCUGCCUGGAGAAGCCAGAGCACAAACACACCCAACAGACUUCUUCACACUUGUCUCCUUGGGAUGUCAUCACCGGAGGAAGUGCGUGUCGCUGUUUCUGUGUGUCAGCGUUGCCGAGCCAGGCUGCCUCUAUGCGAGGAUAUAUGGUCACUUAUCUCCCAGCUGAGUGCUGGAAAUGGUGCCAGGUGGCCAAGUGCUUUGGAAAUGCUGUUGUUCGAAGUCAGUCCAAUCCACGUGCUCAUGUGGAAUGCUGCCUCCUUGGGCCUGGAGAGGUUCCAGGGAAGGCGACAGUCAUCCUGGACGUGUGUGUGUGUGUGUGUGUGUGUGUGUGUGCGCAGUUUAGCGGUGUAGGAAGCAUUUCACAUACAUUUGUGCUGUUUGAUUCUCAGGACAAAUCAGGAGUGGGUGGCAGUGGAGGGAGGCUAAGCUUGCUCGGGAAAACUGAGGUACACAGAGGGGCAGGGGUACCGGCCUGGGCUCUAAACUCCUACCUUCUGGUGCUUCUGAGUUGAAAGAAACUGGCCUGAAAGUUGACUAUGAAAAAGAAGGGUCAACAGCCUGCCUUGGAGCUUGGAGUCACAAAUCUCUUAGAACUUGGUAACAGACUCACUAAGAGCUGCAGCCAUUAGGAGCUUCCAUUCAGUCCCUUCUGUCCCUGAGAGUCUUUCUCCCUUGCCCCCACUGGCACACACUCUCCCAAUGUUGAGGGAGCAGAAGGGGCUUAGCUAAGGGGGCACCAAUGCCCUUCCUCAGUUCUCAGCUGUGAGGCUUACCUAACUGUGACUCCUGGAGCCAGCCCAAACACUCAGCCUAAAAAGACCCUCACUUGGAAGGUCAACCAGCUUCGGGAUAAAUACUGAGUCCUCUACUUGCCCCAAACCCAACUGCCGUUCACAGGCCUUGCGGAUGUCGACCUUCUGCAGCAGUCCUGCCCCUGCGCUGGCCUCUCUCUACCUCCCGGGACUCCCCCGACUCCCUCCCACACUCCUCCGUCUCUGACUCGAAGCCUCUCCCUGCUGCCUUCUCCUCCUUUUGGUCUCUCCCUGCCUCCGUAUGUCUCCUACUUUACUCCUUGGAAGCCAUCUUUGCUGCUGCAAACUCUGCUGAGGACACCGCCUUUCUGCCCUGGAGUCUUCCCCCUCCUCUUAGGUCCAGGGAGCUGGGCUCCAGCUUCUGGGCUUUGAGGCAAGCCUGGCGGGAUAGGAGGCUCCAGGGCUUGGGUUUCUUGAAGUCCAGGACCUCUGAGUCACCAGGCAAGGGCCCUCAGAGUGUCUGAGCAGGGCUCCCCUGCUGCUCCAGGGCCCUGAGUACCUGGCUUCGCCAUCUGGGGCCAUCCAGACUCCCAGCUGUGGGUCAGUGGGGAUAAGAAGUUUUCCAGCUGUUUUCCAGGUUGGCCUGAGCAGCUCCGACUGGCCUGAGUCCAGCUGGGCUGUGGGUGUGGAGGGAGUCUCUAGGCAGAGAGGAAGGGCUCCCUGGGCUGGCUGAGCUUGUAGGGUGUGGGGGCAGGGAGCUGGCAGAGGGGGGCUGUGAUGAAGAGGUUGGGGGCUGUGCCAGCUGGGAGUGGGCAGUGGAAGAGGCUUGGGUCAUUUUUCUAAGGGGCCCUCAAAUCAACUGUGCAGCGUGGGCAGGGGCUGCUUGGGACCCUGCACGGGGGCCAACAGGUAGGGGGAAAACCUGUGCCCACAGGAAGAUGGAGGUGGGGCUGCUUUCUUCUGUAAAACACCUUCUCUAUGCUGGACACUGGACUAGGUCUUCUCUUGGCCACACACUCACAAACUCAGGCAGGGAAACUGAGGCCCAGGAAAGUUAAGCAAGUUGUCCAAGGCAGCAUAGUUGGUAUGAUACUUGGGGUCUGCAUGUACCUACAGGCCUCUGUUCAGCAAGACACGGACACGUCACACUGCUGAUGGGGGCCUGGGCCACACUGUGGGCCGUGGUGGAGACAGUGCCAUGAAAAAGCUUGUCUAGCUGUCUUGGGGCUGGCUCAGAGUGGCAUGAUCUGUCCCCUAAAUCCUAGCAGUCUGCAUCCCCAGCCUGCCAGACCCCUCAGUUUGGCUACAGGGAAGAAUCAGAUGGGCAAGAGAGCCUUUGGAGGCCAAAAGAGCUCUUGCUCACUGAUAUUGUUCCCUGUGGGUCAUAGCAAACAGAGGAGAGAGCUCUUUACACCUGGAAGUGAUCUGCAAGCUUGUCUAAUGGUGGAGGCUGCAGGAAGACAAAGCUGGGGCAACUGCAGGCUAGGGAGCCCUUGGACUUUCAUUCAAUUCACCUUUGUCCACUAGUCCCUCAGUAUCCUCAUCACAGCAGAUGGUGCCUGCAUUCCUAACAAGCUUCCGGGAGAUGCUGGUUCAUGGACCACACGUCGAGUAGCCAAGUGUGCGAUUAUGUCACUCUUGUGCUCCGUCGACUUUCUUAGAAUAAAAUCCAAAGUUCUUAUCGUGACUUUUGCAGCCCCUGCUACUUUUCCAACCUUACAUCUCUCCUCUCUCUGUUCUCUCCUCUCUCUGUUCACUUUGCUCCCACGGCCCACGGCCUUUUGCUCCUACAGCAUGCACUGCUUCCUUAGAGGGUGGCUCCCUGUGCUGAUUGGGUGCUCGUAUCUGGGCUGGAAUUUGUGUGUUUUUGAGGCCAUAUCCCCAGCGCCUGAUACAGGGACUGACCCUCCUGGGUAGCUACUUGAUGAAGGAAUAGACAGACUAGAUUCUUCUGGAUGUCGGGGCUCGAGGACUGAGCGAAACAAACUGGCACCCGCCCUUCUGCAACCCACAGCCUUGUUUCCCCAGAAGAAAGCUGGGAUGAACCAAGAAACCCAUCAGGCAUGGUCAAUAUUCCUGACUUCUUCUUAUGUCUGACCAGGGCUGUUUCCCACCCACUGUCUCACUAACAGCUCAGCAAGGCAGGUGCUGCCAUGACCACCUGCUUCUCAUCAGAGGGCAUGACUCCAACCUCCAUGACCUUCCCUGAAUUCCAAAGGGCAGAUCUGAACAGUUAAUCUGAACAGCUAAUCAAGGGAGGAGCAGCCAAGAAGCCACCUGAGACAAGAUUACAGGGACCAGAGAGCUCAUCAAGACUAGGAGACCACCUGAGACCCUGCACAUGCCCUAAUCUUGUCAGCAGCCCCACACCCCACACAAAUAUAACUAUUUGCUAUAAAAAUUCCUCAACAUAUCCUCCCAGGUUGGCACACAUAGUUUCUCCAGGCAGAAGCCUGCUGUGUUCCCCUCUGCCUGGCAAAGCCAUAAGGCUGUCUUUUCUGCUUCACCCAAAAUUCUGUCUCUGAGAUUUGAUUCAGCACUGAGUUAUAGAGAGGCUGAACUUUUGGCAUCAAUAUAUGAUGUUUUGUGUAUCCAUUCACCUAUUGAAGGACAUCUUGAUUGCUUCCGGUUUCUGGUGGUUAUGAAUAAAGCUACUGUAAAUA